rnacentral:rRNA from 1 species
CCUACGGGUGGCAGCAGUGGGGAAUAUUGCGCAAUGGGGGAAACCCUGAUGCAGCGACGCCGCGUGGGUGAAGAAGCGCCUCGGCGCGUAAAGCCCUGUCAGCAGGGAAGAAAAUGACGGUACCUGAAGAAGAAGCCCCGGCUAACUACGUGCCAGCAGCCGCGGUAAUACGUAGGGGGCAAGCGUUAACCGGAUUUCCUGGGUGUAAAGGGGGCGCAGACGGCGAUGCAAGCCAGGAGUGAAAGCCCGGGGCCCAACCCCGGGACUGCUCUUGGAACUGCGUGGCUAGAGUGCAGGAGGGGCAGGCGGAAUUCCUGGUGUAGCGGUGAAAUGCGUAGAUAUCAGGAGGAACACCGGUGGCGAAGGCGGCCUGCUGGACUGCAACUGACGUUGAGGCCCGAAAGCGUGGGGAUCAAACAGGAUUAGAUACCCGAGUAGUC